CAACCCACUCCAGUAUUCAUGCCCGGAAAACCCCAUGGACCGAGGAGCCUGGGGCGCUACAGUCCAUGCGGUCGCAAAGAGUCGGAUACGACUGAGCGACUUCAGCUCUGCAGAGGCUGAGCUUAUGGAGGGUAAGAAAACUGAAGCAUGGAGAGUUGACAAAACUUCCUCAAGAUCACUUAUCAGGGAAGUGGCUGUGAUGGGACACAAACGAAGCAUGUUGGUCCUGCUGCAGCAUGCUGCCUGCUGGCAUGCAGGUAAAUUUCUAACCAGAACUACUGCCAGCUAAACAGAUCCCUUGGGGAGGGAAUCCCUUCAUCACUCUCCAAGUCAAAUUGCUUCUGUGUUAAAGCAAAGCUGAGCAUGCCAGGGAAGAUGCAGUGCCUCCUGCUCUCAUGGGCACCUGCAAUGGCCCACCUCAGUGGGGGCCAGCCAGGAAUUUGGGGGCCCAGAGAGGAUGUCCUAAGCUUCCUCACUAUGAAGAGGAGCCCUUAGUCUCAGCUUCUGCCACACCUAAUGGGACGUGUGAUGGAGUGGAGUGUUCUAUUUGCAGAUAUAACUCUGAUUCCUUCACCUGGAUGGCACUGUAAAGUCUUAUCAGCUGAACAAGAGAAGCCAAGAACAGAGACUAGAGACAGAGACAAACAAUUUUCCUGAAAUGCUGUUCUGGGCCAUGUGAGUCAUAGCUGAACCACCAAGGGAAGCAUUUUUAGAACAUCACAGAGGGGACAGUCAUAGGCCCAAGCCUUUAAAGGACUGCAUUUUUUAGAAGGUCAACUGCUUUUUCCCUGGAGGGGGUGUAGAAGUGGAUAAUUAAUAAUUGUGAUACUCUGAAAGUGACCUGAAAAAGGAAAAAGUUUACACGGAACCAGCCUCUUAUCCAAGAUAUGUCUCUUCCCCGCCCCGGCUUCGCUCUGAUCUAGGGAAGAAGUGAUGCUUAGCUCAAGUUUCCAGACUCCAGUUCUCACAGUCCUUACCAACCUACAGUUGCAUUUCAUUAUCAAUCUGAUUUAUAGAGCUGAGAAUCACAUUUUCAGGAUACCACUACAUGAGCGGAAAUGUAUCACAAAUUCCUUUUCCUCCAUUUGUAUUUUCAGUAUUAUGUAUUAAUUAACAAAAUCUUUUCAUCAGGACAAACACACAGUGUAUUUGUGCAUGUGCCAAUAUCAAGCACAUACCUGGUGUGUACCCAUAGCUUAAUUAGAACAAAACUGGGGGAAGGAGUUAGAUGUAUUGGUUCCUAAGGCAGAAUUGCCUCCAUAUUUCUGAACAAGUCACUCAUUUCUGGUUUCUGUCCUUUCUCUAAGGAGUUCUCCCAGACUCCUCUUCCGUCCCCACUGCCCUAUUUUUUUCUGUCCCUGCUUUGUGGGCUAUUCCACCACCUCCAAUGAGAUUCUCCAAGGCCCUCUGUCUGCUGAGACUGUGACCUGCUGAGGCCACAUCUUCUCAGUACUGUAGCUGACCCCAGAACAGAUGAGAUACCUUUUGCUCAGUUCCUGCAGCUGAGGGUAUUCUUGUCAGGCUCACUCUCUAAGAGUUGCUAGUAAUGAGAACACUGGUUGAGUGCUUAGUAUAUGCUGGGCUCAUGCUAAGCUCUUUAUGUGCUUUGUUUUCAUUAAUCCCCGCAAGAAGCUUGUCCCUCUUGUCAUGCUCCCUUACAAAUGCGGACAGUGUGGAGCAGAGAGCUUAAAUAACAUGCACGGGGUUGCCCAUCUUGUAGUGGUGCUGGAAGUUGAAUGCAGUCAAAGGGCUCUAAAACUUGUAUUCUGCACCAUGAUGCUAGUGACUGAUUCUAGAUCUUAGCCCAUUUCCUGCAGAGUCCAUUGGGUCCUAGUUGUUUGGGUCAGGUACAGCAGUAUCAUGAGAAAAGACAGGUAUUCAAUAAAUUCUGUUGAAGAAUCUUGUGUUGAACGUCCUCUGAGUGUGAAGCACUGCUAAUUUGCAAACCUGGGAUGUGAGAUUUGGUAUGGAGAUGAAGCACACUAGUUUUUCGUGUAAUGAUUGGGAAGGAAAUCCUUUUGCUGGCGAGAAUAGUAGAUCUGACCUGAGACAACAUUGUGAAGUCCCUGUGUGUCCCACUAUCUGGCCCUUCUUGAACCUUUUCUGUUCUUUCUUUGGCUUAGCUGGCUUCUCCUUCUCCUCCGCCCUGUAUCUUCUCUCUGUGCUCUGCACCCAGCACUGCACUCAGAAAUAGGUCACAUGCACCCCAGUGCAUCUUUGAUGUAAGACUUAUCUUCGGAUUAUCCAGGAGUGCCUACUUCGACAUUUAUUUAGUUACCUGGCUCCAGACAUGCCAUGACAGGUCAUGGUAUCUCCAACCUCACCGAGCUUAUAUUUUGGUAGGUGUAGGCUCACAUGAGUUCUUGUAAUAGGAUAAAAUGAAAUGAGAACUCUAAAGGGAACUAUAUAAAGUGAGGCUGGAACCCAAGCUGAUUAAUACAAAGCAUUGUUCUUUUCUGUGGUGAUGAAAAUAUUAUCAAACUGGAUUGGAACAUUGGUUGCAUGGGUAUGUGCGAGCUCAGUUGCUUCACUUGUGUCUUACUCCCUGCAACACUGUGGACUGUAGCCUUCCAGGCUCUUCUAUCCUUGGGAUUCUCCAGGCAAAAAUACUGGAGUGGGUUGCCAUGCACUUCUCCAGGGGAUUUUCCGGACUCAGGGAUCAAAACCACGUCUCUUAUGUCCCCUGCAUUGGCAGAUGGAUUCUUUACCACUAGUGCCACCUGGGAAGCCCUUGGAUGCAAAGGGAUUAUCUAUUCUCAGAGUUCAUCAGAUUGUGCACUGAAGACCUAUACAUUUCUUUGUGUGUAAAUAUUACCUAAAUAAAACCUGUUUUUGUUGUUGUUAUUGUUGUUGAAGAAAUGAGAAAAGAAGUAUCAGUAAGCAGGCAUAGAGUCAUUCCCAAAUGCCAUUUGGUCAGUCAUCUGUCAUUCAUUCACCAAAUAUUUCUUGAGAAGCUAAUAUGUAUUAGGACUGUUCUAGAAUCCAUCAAGGAGAUCCAACCAGUC